GAUGAACGCUGGCGGCGUGCUUAACACAUGCAAGUCGAACGGUGAAGGCGGAGCUUGCUCUGCUGGAUCAGUGGCGAACGGGUGAGUAACACGUGAGCAAUCUGCCCCUGACUCUGGGAUAAGCGCUGGAAACGGCGUCUAAUACUGGAUACGAGCUGCGAAGGCAUCUUCAGCAGCUGGAAAGAAUUUCGGUCAGGGAUGAGCUCGCGGCCUAUCAGCUUGUUGGUGAGGUAAUGGCUCACCAAGGCGUCGACGGGUAGCCGGCCUGAGAGGGUGACCGGCCACACUGGGACUGAGACACGGCCCAGACUCCUACGGGAGGCAGCAGUGGGGAAUAUUGCACAAUGGGCGAAAGCCUGAUGCAGCAACGCCGCGUGAGGGACGACGGCCUUCGGGUUGUAAACCUCUUUUAGAAGGGAAGAAGCGAAAGUGACGGUACCUGCAGAAAAAGCGCCGGCUAACUACGUG
rnacentral:rRNA from 1 species